rnacentral:lncRNA from 1 species
UACAAUCUCCCCCCCUCUCUCUCCCUUGUCUCUUACAUAAACCAGCACUUUCAAUGAUUUGGAUUGGAUUGUCUUAACCUCCUCACCCUGAAAACUUGACCCUUCACCCUUCACCCUUCACCGUCCGUUCCUCCCAUUUCCCAUCUCCUUCCUCUUACUUUCAAGGGUUCUUGUUAAAGUUCUUUGCUUUCACUUUCUUUAACCCUACCAUCAUCACCCCACUAGUUUCACAGUCAUCAAGACUCCACUUUUAUCACAUAGUUUAUUCUGGAGGACAAUAAUAUAUACCCCUAGUUGGAAUAUUAUAUGCCCUUCUUUUCUCUCUCUCAAAAACUAAGGAAAAGAUAGUCCUUGUUGCAGGAUUGACCUGUAACUAACUCUCUCUCUAACCAGUGCCAAAGACUUCUACUUCGGUGUUUCCUGGUAAACUUUCUUCACAUUUUUUUCCCCUUUCUUCCACCCUGAGCUAGUGAGCUGUGUUUUUGGUUUUGCUGAUAUGGGUCCGUGUUCUUGUGUGCUGUGUAUGCUGUUUCUAGUUGGUGGAUCUCUAAAGCUUGAAUAUUGGGUGUGGGUUCUUGAAUUUUUGUGGGUCUAGUUUUAGUUUUGGGAUAUGGGUUUUUGAUUGUGUUAGAUCCAAGGUGUUUGAUAUUAUUUGAGGGCUUUUGCCAUAUUAUUUGGAAUUUCUAUGACUGAUCAGUUUUUUUCUUUUCUUCCUCAAUCUUUAUAGAAGGUGAGAUCUGGACAGUCAAGUUAAAUAUGGGCUAGAUGAUAAGAUCAAUUGAUUUAAAGUCUACUUUUUUUCCUUCAAUAUUAAAUCAAGUAACUCUGAUUUGAUCAUGAUUCAUCUCUUUUUUCCUUCAAUAUUAAAUCAAGUAAAUCUUUUCAUGCUUAUUGAUCCGCUUACUUCUUUCAAUAUGAAGUAGUUUAUGGUUCUAUAGACUUUGUAUCUUUUUUAAUAAGAUAUUGUGAACAAUAAAGAACGAGUGAUUGAUGUGAGGGAUCUUGAUUGCAUCAGUAAAUGGAAAGGUGGAUUAUUGAAUCGUGUUUGAUGGUUAUGCACGCCUUAUCUAUUUGGAAAUUAUAUGUUGAGCAGUGUUUCUAAUAUAUUUGGAAAUUAUAAGUUGAGCAGUGUUUCUAAUAUUGUAAUUUUUACUAAUAUUUUACAGGUUUCAUCAGGAGUCGAAGUUUGGUGAAGAGUAGUUUGAGGAAUUAAAGUUUGGUGAUUUGAAUCAAUUUGAGCUGCUUACAAAUUCUAGUCAAUUGGGGGGGUUUUGAUCUGUGAAAGAUGUCGAUGUUUGAUGAGAU